ACAUGUAGAUGGAUAACUCAGUUGAUUAGAGCGUGGUGCUGAUAGCGCCAAGGUUGCAGGUUCGAUCCCCAGUUGCAUGUU